rnacentral:rRNA from 1 species
GUGCCAGCCGCCGCGGUAAGACGAAGGAUGCAAGCGUUAUCCGGAUUCAUUGGGUUUAAAGGGAGCGUAGGUGGCCUUAUAAGUCAGUGGUGAAAUCUUCCCGCUUAACGGGAAAAUUGCCAUUGAUACUGUAGGGCUUGAGUAUAGUUGCCGUUGGCGGAAUAUGACAUGUAGUGGUGAAAUACAUAGAGAUGUCAUAGAACACCGAUUGCGAAGGCAGCUAACGAAACUAUAACUGACACUGAGGCUCGAAAGUGCGGGGAUCAAACAGGAUUAGAUACCCCCGUAGUCC